UACGGAGGGUGCAAGCGUUAUCCGGAUUUACUGGGUUUAAAGGGUGUGUAGGCGGACAUUUAAGUCAGGGGUGAAAUCCCGAGGCUCAACCUCGGAACUGCCUUUGAUACUAUUUGUCUUGAAUGUUGUUGAGGUGGGCGGAACGGGUCAUGUAGCGGUGAAAUGCAUAGAUAUGACCCGGAACACCGAUUGCGAAGGCAGCCCGCUAAGCAACUAUUGACGCUGAGGCACGAAAGCGUGGGGAUCAAACAGG
rnacentral:rRNA from 1 species